rnacentral:rRNA from 1 species
GACGAACGCUGGCGGCGUGCCUAAUACAUGCAAGUAGAACGCUGAAGAGAGGAGCUUGCUCUUCUUGGAUGAGUUGCGAACGGGUGAGUAACGCGUAGGUAACCUGCCUUGUAGCGGGGGAUAACUAUUGGAAACGAUAGCUAAUACCGCAUAACAAUGGAUGACACAUGUCAUUUAUUUGAAAGGGGCAAUUGCUCCACUACAAGAUGGACCUGCGUUGUAUUAGCUAGUAGGUGAGGUAAUGGCCCACCUAGGCGACGAUACAUAGCCGACCUGAGAGGGUGAUCGGCCACACUGGGACUGGGACACGGCCCAGACUCCUACGGGAGGCAGCAGUAGGGAAUCUUCGGCAAUGGGGGCAACCCUGACCGAGCAACGCCGCGUGAGUGAAGAAGGUUGUCGGAUCGUAAAGCUCGGUUGUAAGUCAAGAACGGGUGUGAGAGUGGAAAGUUCACACUGUGACGGUAGCUUACCAGAAAGGGACGGCUAACUACGUG